AAUGGCGUCGAGUGCGGAUUUAAUAAAUAACCUUCUGACGGAUUUGCAAUUUCCACGCAAUUUACUGCAAAAAUUGGACGAUUCUGGAAUAGGUAUACUAAGCCUUAUAACUAUUUCUGAAGAACAGUUAAGAGAUUAUUUGCGACUUUUGGAUCUGGACGACACUGAUUUCGAUUCAUCAUACUACUACGAGCUCUUGCAGUCCUGGAGAGCUCGAAAUAAGCCAGCUAUACAGCGCUUAGUGAGUUGGUGCAUAUACAAAGAUUUUGCAGCGGAACCACCUGCAACUCCGAAGGAAAUCAUUGACCCACCAGUCGAUGUUUCUUGCCGAGCGCCCUGUCAAUCCAC